CUCUCUCUCUCUCUCUCUCUCCUCAGGUGUCCACACAUCACCAGACUUCUAUUGGAGCACAAUGUCUCUCUCUCUCUCUCUCUCUCUCUCUCUCUGUCUCUCUCUCCUCAGGUGUCCACACAUCACCAGACUUCUAUUGGAGCACAAUGUCUCUCUCUCUCUCUCUCUCUCUCUCUCUCUCCUCACGUGUCCACACAUCACCAGACUUCUAUUGGAGCACAAUGUCUCUCUCUCUCUCUCUCUCUCUCUCUCCCUUUCUCCUCAGGUGUCCACACAUCACCAGACUUCUAUUGGAGCACAAUGUCUCUCUCUCUCUCUCC
ensembl:lncRNA